rnacentral:rRNA from 1 species
AGGACGAACGCUGGCGGCGUGCUUAACACAUGCAAGUCGAGCGAGGCUCCUCCUUCGGGAGGAUGCCCUAGCGGCGAACGGGUGAGUAACACGUGGGCAACCUGCCCCCAGCACUGGGAUAACCCCGGGAAACCGGGGCUAAUACCGGAUACGACUUCGGAAGGCAUCUUCUGAAGUGGAAAAGGUUACUGGCUAGGGAUGGGCCCGCGGCCUAUCAGCUUGUUGGUGGGGUAAUGGCCCACCAAGGCGACGACGGGUAGCCGGCCUGAGAGGGCGACCGGCCACACUGGGACUGAGACACGGCCCAGACUCCUACGGGAGGCAGCAGUGGGGAAUAUUGCACAAUGGGCGAAAGCCUGAUGCAGCGACGCCGCGUGAGGGAUGACGGCCUUCGGGUUGUAAACCUCUUUCAGCAGGGACGAAGCGAAAGUGACGGUACCUGCAGAGAAGCACCGGCCAACUACGCGCCAGCAGCCGC